rnacentral:rRNA from 3 species
GUGGGUGAACCUGCGGAAGGAUCAUUG